CUCUACAGAUACUUCUCCAAGGCCUGAAAAACCAGACCUUCUUCUUCUCUCUGCCCCACUGCCCCUGGCAAGAAGCAUAGUAAUAGGCUUAGGACAGACCAGAACAGAUAAGUAAAUCUUUUUUGUUAUUGUUGCUUCUCCGAGAAUGAUACCAGUGUUUGCCCCUUUGUUCCAACACAGCCAGGGCUCUCUUUAUGACAUGUGUAGCUUGGGGUGAUCGUGGCUUUUGGUCUUCUAACUUCUCACUGUCAAACAUUCUAACAGUUUUCAGGGUUUAAAUGGCAGUCAUUGAUAUGAACAGAACCACCCCUGCUGACACCCUGUAGGGGAUAAAGCCGGAAUCUUCAGAAGGAAAAAAUCAUGAGUUUUCUACACUCAGAAAUUAAUGCUCAGGCAUGAAGAGUAAGCCUGGAGCUGGGGCAGAAGGCCUUUGAGAAGUCUGGCCUGGGCAUCUCCUGAGAGGGGCUUUCAUUCUUUUCUUUUUUUCAUUCUACAAAUGAUUCCUGCACAUCGACUGCAUUCAAGGGGAUGCAACGUUGACAAGACAGACAAGGUCCUUGCCCUCCUGGGAUGACUUCUAAGGGGGCAGAGACUAACCUAUGAAAAAGCAAGGGCUAUGGAUCAAGUAUUCUUUGAAGUGCCCUGUUCACUUCAUGGUUCUGUAGAGAAUUAGAAAACUUCCAGGAGUUUCCAAGAAUGCUGAUAUCCAGUUCACCACUUUACCCACUGGUGAGGAGAAGAAAGUCAAAGGAAACCAUAUGUCUUAGACCUUAGUCUCCACUGGUGACCUCUGUCUACCUUGACCCUUUCUCUAUCAGGUUGGAAGAAGCCUUGGAGGGCACACAGAAGCACUUCCUCCUUUUACAAACAAGAAAAGGGACAGAGUGACAACUUUAAAAAAAUCUACAUCUGAAGUUAGUUCUAUAGUUUCCUAUCUCCAGAAGAGGCAGAAAUGAACUCCACCAUGCCUAAA
rnacentral:lncRNA from 1 species